rnacentral:tRNA from 1 species
GCCUCCGUAAGUUAAUGGAUAGACUCACUCGAUUCUAACGAGGAAGUAGGGGUUCGAUUCCUCUCGGGGGCA